AUUGAACGCUGGCGGCAGGCUUAACACAUGCAAGUCGAGCGGAGAUGAGGUGCUUGCACCUUAUCUUAGCGGCGGACGGGUGAGUAAUGCUUAGGAAUCUGCCUAUUAGUGGGGGACAACAUUCCGAAAGGAAUGCUAAUACCGCAUACGCCCUACGGGGGAAAGCAGGGGAUCUUCGGACCUUGCGCUAAUAGAUGAGCCUAGGUCGGAUUAGCUAGUUGGUGGGGUAAAGGCCUACCAAGGCGACGAUCUGUAGCGGGUCUGAGAGGAUGAUCCGCCACACUGGGACUGAGACACGGCCCAGACUCCUACGGGAGGCAGCAGUGGGGAAUAUUGGACAAUGGGCGGAAGCCUGAUCCAGCCAUGCCGCGUGUGUGAAGAAGGCCUUUUGGUUGUAAAGCACUUUAAGCGAGGAGGAGGCUACCUGGAUUAAUACUCUAGGAUAGUGGACGUUACUCGCAGAGUAAGCACCGGCUAACUCUGUGCCAGCCGCCGCCGUAAGAC
rnacentral:rRNA from 1 species